rnacentral:rRNA from 1 species
AUUGAACGCUGGCGGCAUGCCUUACACAUGCAAGUCGAACGGCAGCACGGGUGCUUGCACCUGGUGGCGAGUGGCGAACGGGUGAGUAAUACAUCGGAACAUGUCCUGUAGUGGGGGAUAGCCCGGCGAAAGCCGGAUUAAUACCGCAUACGAUCUACGGAUGAAAGCGGGGGACCUUCGGGCCUCGCGCUAUAGGGUUGGCCGAUGGCUGAUUAGCUAGUUGGUGGGGUAAAGGCCUACCAAGGCGACGAUCAGUAGCUGGUCUGAGAGGACGACCAGCCACACUGGUACUGAGACACGGCCCAGACUCCUACGGGAGGCAGCAGUGGGGAAUUUUGGACAAUGGGCGAAAGCCUGAUCCAGCAAUGCCGCGUGUGUGAAGAAGGCCUUCGGGUUGUAAAGCACUUUUGUCCGGAAAGAAAUCCUUGGCUCUAAUACAGUCGGGGGAUGACGGUACCGGAAGAAUAAGCACCGGCUAACUACGUG